rnacentral:lncRNA from 1 species
AGUCGCGCCUGCCACAUCUACCUCCCCAGCCAUCCUACUCUCUAUGCUGCUGCAAACUAGACAUUCCUUCCUGGAGGGACCUCUCGCUUCCCAUCUUCAGAUCAGGACGCACGGUCUCUUCUCCGCAGCUGCUUCCUCUGGUGUUCCUGUGCUCCUGUCGGCCCGCUGCUCCCACACACAUGCCCAUUCUUCUCGGGCUGGCUUGUAUCUCAGGGUUACGCUCCCCAGGUCCCUUGCUCCAGCCUCCUCUUAAACAUGACAAAGAAUCCAAGGACUUGUGCUGGGGCUGUCAGCUGCUAUUCUGGUGCCCUGGGGACGAAGAAGGGAUCUGGAGGGAAGACUGUCACCCUCUUGCGAAUGUUUCCAAGAAGCAGCUCAGCAUGGGAGAGAAAAGGGGAGAUCCCAGUUCCAGGAACACCUGGCCAGUGUUUCACCUGUUUAUCGGAGUUGACAGGACCAGCCAGCCCUUUCCCACCUCUCCCCAUCAUGAUGGAUGGGAGCCUGGCCUUUGAGAUUCCUGCGAAGGAAUGACAAAGAACAUCAAGGCUCAAUCCUUGGAACUCUCCAUCACUCAUCUUUAAAUUAGACUUCUCUGCUGACUCUCAGAGUUGUGUAUGCUGAGAAUCCACUGCCUCUAAGACAUCCUGCUUGGCAGAAAGCACAGAACGUGGCACGUUGGAGGAAAUCAGUUAUGAACCAAGGAGAUGAAAGAUGCUGAUCAGUCAAUGAAAAAAAUUUAAAAACCACAUUACUAGUGCCUCUAAAGCCCUGCCAGCAUCUAUGCCCUGUGAUUCAACAUCACAAAGAGGGCUAGGAGAAGAAGAAAGUUAUUAAUUGGCAUUACUAUAAAAGCAUUCCAUCCUGAGAAGAGGUUCAUCACUGAAUGUGAAUUUCAUAGUCAUUAGCAGAAAAAGCCAGAGGGUAUGAGUUCAACACUCUGAGGUGGCUUGUUGAUCUGAUCAAAAUCAACUUUUCUGGAGUCCACAGAAAAUUAGACUUUUUGACAUUCUGCUGAAAGAGUCAUAUCCCAAAAAGGCUGGAUGGAGACCUGGUCAAUAAAUCACUUCUUCUCCCGCCCCUGACCUUCACACUGUUUAUGUCCUUCAGCCACUAUGACAGGGGACAUCGACCUUGAACCUAGUUGGCAACUCUAGCCUGUUUCCUCAUCUAUCAAAUGGGGUACAUUUUCUCUGCCUCCCUAACUGGUGGGAGCAUGGGUAGAGUCAUCUGGUCAACAGGUGAGAAAGUGUUUUGUAAAGCAGAAGGUGCUGGAUGUGUUCACACUUCACCACACACUCCUAAAGGAUCAUUAUUGUCCAUUUAACUGGAACCCAAAUGAAUACAUUGGGGAAAUUUUGCAGCCUUGUGGACUUGGCAGUUUGGAUCCAAUGUCAUGGAUGAUGUGGCUCAAAAGAAGUUUCUUUAUGCUGAGUAAUCACCUGGCUGCUGGCUCUGAAUGAAUAGGUAUAGGGUACCCUGUUGCUCUCCUGAGAGACUGGCCCAGUGGGCAUAAGCAGGGCUUGGACGCUGAUGCCCAAACACAGAGAACAUCAGACAGCAAACAGCUAAACCAGGGACCAAAUGCUCUGCGUUGCUUCUUUUCCCAUUAGUUUGCUCCUAAGCACCUGCCCCAUCAAAAUACCCAUGACUCCCCCAAAUGUCACAGGGGGCACUGCUGGGAUGUUCCCUCUGCCGUUUCCUCUGCCACAUCUCUCCACCUUCUCUGCUUAUUUAAUUUAUCUUAUCCUGGCUGGGCACAGUGACUCAUUCCUGCAAUCCCAGCACUUUGAGAGGCCAAGGUGGAAGGAUUGCUUGAGCCCAGGAGUUUGAGACCAGCCCGAGCAACACAGCAAGAUCCCAUCUCUACAAAAAUUAAAAAACUUAGCCAGGUGUGGCAGUGCACCUGUAGUCCUAGCUACUAGGGAGGCUAAGGUGGGAGGAUCACUUAAGCCAGGAGUUUGAGGCUGCAGUGAGCUAUGAUUGUGCCACUGCACUCCUGCCACAGCCUGGGUGACAGAGCGAAACCCUGUCUCUCAAAAGAAAAAAAAAGUCUCAUCAAGGUUCUACUCAUUGUCACCUCCUCUGUGAGGCCACAGUCUUCAAACUCCUAACACAGUCAGUACUGACUAUCCCCCCAGCCGAGUGAAGCACUGUCUUGUGCUUUGCCGCGCUGCAGUCUGAUUUGUAUGAGCAUUCACUGUGCACCCACCUCUAUCCCUGUUUACGUUGUGAGCUUCUCAAGGGCAGAAACCAGGUAUGAUCCCUCUUGGUGUCCCAGCACCUAGCACAGCUGCUGGUGUCUAGUAAUUUAUGAUUCAAUGUUGGAUUGCAUUUUUGCCAUUCCUUUGUGUGUCAGAGAGUGACCUGAGGGGAUUGUGAGAGGGGAAGAAAAGAUGAAAUCUUUUAUUUUUAUUUAUUUAAAUCAAUUCCAUUUUUGCUUUUGCCUUGAGUCCCAGCCCAUUAAAAAAUCUGAAAAACUGCUCUGAUGUAAUUCAUAGGAUAACCACAGUUUGUCUACUCACCAAUUGAGGGACAUUUGGGUUGCUUCCAGAUUUAUUUAUUUUUUGAGACAGAGUUUUGCUCUUGUUGCCCAGGUUGAAGUGCAAUGGCAUGAUCUUGGCUCACUGCAACCUCCACCUCCAGGGUUCAAGCGAUUCUCCUGCCUCAGCCUCCACAGUAGCUGGGAUCACAGGUGCCCGCCACCAUGCCCAGCUAAUUUUUGUAUUUUUAGUAGAGAUGGGGUUUCACCAUGUUGGCCAGGCUGGUCUCAAUCUCCUGAGCUCAAGUGACCCACCCACCUCAGCCUCCCAAAGUGCUGGGAUUACAGGUGUGAGCCACCAUACCCGGCCUCCAGAGUUUGGCUAUUAUGAAUAUGUGGUUAUGAAUAAUGUUGCUGUGAACAUUCACAUACAAGUCUAUGUUUUCAUUCUCUUGGGUAAGUACCUAGGAGUGGAAUUUCUGGGCUAUGUAAUGGGUGUAUGUUUAACUUUAAGAACACUGCCAAACACUUUUCCAAAGGGGCCAUACCGUUUCACAUUUCUACUGGCAGUGUUUGAGAGUGUAGUUUUUCUACAUCUUCACUAACUCCUUGCGAUGACAGUUUAAAAAAAAACCCAUUCUAAUGGGUAUAUUGGGUAUUUCAUUGUAGUUUUGAUUUGUAUUUCCUUGUUGCCUAGUCGUGUUCAUAUUGGCUGCCCAUAUAUUUUCUGUGGGAAGUGUCUGUUCAAAUAUUCUGUCCAUUUUUAAAAUCUGUAUUGUUUGCUUUCUUAUUAUUCUGCAUACAAGCCUUUCACUAUAUAUAUAUUUUACAGAUAUUUUCUCCUAGUCUCUGGCUUGUCUUUUCAUUUUCUUAAAUGUGUCCUUAAGUGAAUAGAAGUUUUUAAUUUUUAUGAAAUCUAUUUUAUUAUAUUUUUCUUUUAUGAUUACUGCUGUUUGUGUUAAGUUUAGAUAAUCUUUGUGUGUCAUGUUUAGGUAAUCUUUACCAACACAAUAUCACAAAGAUUUUCUGCUGUUUUCUUCCAGAAAUUCUUAUUGUUUUAGCUCUUAUGUUUAGGUCUAUUAUCUAUUUUGAUCAUUUUGCAUAUGAUGUGAAAUAAGGUUUAAAACUUAAUUCGUCCCCAUAAAGAUAUCCAGUACCACUUUGUAAAAAGACUAUACAUUCCUCAUUCAAUUGUCUUGGCACUUUUGUAAAAAAAAUUAAUUGAGCAUAUAAAUGCAAGUCUAUUCCUGCACUCUCUACUCUGUUCUACUGAUCUAUAACCAUGCCAAUGCCAUACAAUUUUGAUUAUUGUGGUUUUAUAGUAAUCCUGAAAUCAGGUAAUGCAAGCACUUCAAACUUGCUUUUAUUUUUUAAGUUAUUUUGGCAAUUUUUAACUCUUUGCUUUUUCAUAUUAUUUUAGAAUCAAUUUAUCAGUUUCUCCAAAAUAGUCUGUUAUGAUUUUGAUGAGGAUUGUAUUGAGUCUAUAGGUCAGUUUUUAGAAAAAACUUUUAACAAUAUUGCAUCUUCAAAUCCAUGAACAUGGUAUGCCUCUCCAUUUAUUUAGGUUUUCUUUAAUUUCCCUUAAUAAUAUUUUGUAGUUUUAAGGUUAUAGGUCUGGAACAUCUUUCUUUAAAUUCAUUUCUAAGUAUUUUUAAGUACUAUUUGUAAAUGAAGUUUUUAAACCUUUAUUUCCCAAUUGUUCAUUACUUGUAUAUAGAAAUGCAACUGAUUUUUAAUUAAACUUUUUAUUUUGAAAUAAUUAUAAGUUCACAGGAAGUUACAAAGGUAGUACAAAGAGGAUCCAUGUGCUCUUCACUCAGUUUCCCCCCGUGGUUACAUUUUAGAUGGUUAUAGUAUAAUAUUAAAACUAUGAAUUUGACACUGGUACAAUGUGUGUGUAUAGUUCUAUGUCAUCUUAUCAUAUGUGUAUAUUUGUAAGCACCUCACAGUCAAUAUGCAGAAUUAUUUCAUCACCAUAAAAAUCUUUCUUGUGCUGCCUCUUUAUAGUCACGCCUAUCCCCGUCUCUCCAACCAUCCCUAACCUCUGGCAACCACUAACCUGUUUUCCAACACUAUAAUUUUGUCAUUUCAAGAGUGUUAUAUAAGUGGAAUCAUACAGUAUGUCACCUUUUGAACUUGGCUUUUUUUUUUCUCAUUUAACAUAAUGACUUUGAGAUCAGUUCAAACUAUUGCAUGUAUCAAUAAUUCAUUCCUUUUCAUUGCCGAGCAGUUUUCUGUAGUAUACAUGUUCCACCGUUUAUUUCACCAUUCACCUGUUGGAGAACAUUUUGGUUGUUUCCUGUUGGGGAUAAUAAAAAUGAAGUGGCUUAGCACAAUUACGUAUAGGUUUUAAUGUUGACAUACAUUUUCAUUUCUCUGGGAUAAAUACCUAGAAGUGCAAUUGCUGUGAGGUAUGGUAAUUUUAAAAGAAACUUUCAAGCUGUUUUCCAGAGUGACUGAAUCAUUUUACAUUACCAACAGCAAUGUAUAAGAAAUCCAGUUUCCCCACAUCCUGGCCAUGAUUUGGUAUUGUGGCUAUUUUGAAAUUUUACUUGAUCUAAUAGAUAUGUGGUGAUAUCUAAUUGCGGUCUUUAUUUGCAUUUCUUUAUUGGUUAGUGAUGUUUAACAUCUUUUCAUCUGCUUAUUUUUUAUUUUUAUAUACUCUUCAUUAAAAUUUUUCUUCAUAUAUCUUUUACCACUUGUCUACUUAAAUUAUUUGAUUUUUUUACUCUUCAGUUUUAAGAAUUCUUUAUAUAUUCUAGAUAUGAUAUGAGUCCUUUUUCAGAUAUGCUGUUUGCAAAUAUUUUCUCCCAGUGUAUAACUUGUCUUUUCUUCCUCUUAAGAGGGGCUUUUAUAGAGCAAAAGUUUGUAGUGUUGAUAAAGUCCAAUUUAUCACUUAAAAGUUUUUUUCUGUCUUUUUUUUUUUUUUGCUUUUGGUCUAUGAACUCUUCACUAAACCACAGGUCCUGAAGAUUUGUCCUUAUGUUAUCUUCUGAAAGUUUUAUAGUUUUAUGUUUUACAUUUAAAUCUAUGGUCCAUUUUUAAUUAAUUUUUGUAACAGGUAUGAUUUUGGGGUUGAGGUUCCUUUCUUUUUCUUUCUUCUUAUUUGCCCAAGAAUAUCUAUUUGCUCCAGUACUGUUUCUUAAAAAGGCUAUCCCUUCUCCAUUGAAUUGCUUUUGCACCUUUGUCAAAAAUGAGUUGGCCCUACUUGUGUGGGGCUCAUACCUAGAAUAUCUAGGACCCAUUUCUGGGUUCUCUAUUCUGUUUCAUUGAUCUUUGUAUCUAUUCCUCAUGCUGACUUGGUUACUGAUGCUAUCUAAUCAGUCUUAAAAUCAGGUAAUAUGACUUUUCCCAAAUUAUUUUCCCCAAACUGUUUUACUUAUUCAACUCCCUUUGCUUUUUCAUAUACAUUUAGAAUAAGCUUGUUGUCUACAUCUACAGAAAUCUUGCUGAGAUUUUGAUUGGAAUUGUGUUGCACCUGUAUAUCAGUUUGGGGAAAUUUGACAUCAUUACUAUUUUGACUCUUCCUAUCCAUGACUAUCAUAUGUCAACCAUUUACUUAGAUUUUUCUUUGAUUUCUUUCAUUAGCAUUUUGAUGUUUUCAACACAUAAGUGCUGGACAUCUUUAGUUAUAUUUACACCUAAAUAUUUCAUUUUCUUGAUUAUAUGUUAUAUUAACACCUGAAUAUUUCAUUUUCUUGAUUAUACAUUAUAUUUUAUAUUUGUUGUCCAUGUAUUCAUUGCUAGUAUAUUAAAAUAGAUGUGAUUUGCCUAUGUUUGUUGAUACGGUUUGGAUCUAUUUCCCUGCCCAAGUCUCAUGUUGAAAUGUAAUCCCCAGUGCUGCAGGUGGGGCCUGGUAGGAGGUGUUUGGAUCAUGGGGCUGGCUUCUCAUUAAUGGUUUGGCACCAUCCCCGUUGGUGUUGCCAUCGUGAUAGUGAGUUGUGAGACCUGGUUGUUUAAAAGGAAUGUUAUAUUUCUUAAUAAAUCAAAGAAUGGAGUGAUUUCAUGAUUAGAAAGGACAUGUUGGGCCUGACACAGAGUAAGCCCUAAAUGAAUGCUCAGGGAUGAUGAAUCUUCUCCCCAGUAUCCCACUUUGCUAGAUUACCCUUAGUGAUAGAUUGUUCACUCUCUCUUAAAUUCUGGGCAUUUGAAAUAUUUUCCUCUCAUGUGCUCAAAACACUUUCAUUUCAGCUUCCACUCUGCAGUCCCAGUGUCUGUCCCUAGGGCUACACAGAAUGAGCCCGAUUCCCCUU